GACCGGCGGAUGGAACUAACUCGCGAGAUUUUCAGUUUAGUGAAUAUAAUACAUCCACAAUUGUCCGAAUGACUGCGAUUACAAAAUAUGGACAGUUAGUGCUCUAAUACAUAUAUCAAGAAAGAAAAGAAAAGCCCCUAAAAGUUCGUGGUCGUUGAAUUUUUGGAAAGGUAGUCAAUGAUAUUUCAAUUAUAUGUGCUCGAUUCUCUACAUUACAAUCCCUUAUAACAUGAAAGAUUAUAUACUGUAUUUUUGAAGAUACAGGGGGAGUUUUCUUAAAGUGAGCUCAACAUUCCUUAUAGAAAUAGAGGGCUAUCCGAGAAGCACAAUAUCUACCAGAAGUGUCGAUUUGUGAGCAGAAGUUUCAGAGACACUGUCCGUUUUUGUGUCUUGACUGUGACUCUGUAUGUAUAACCAGUAUCUUAUCUCUACUGUAGCAGAAGCGAAAUUCUCUUGUUGUGAAAGUGUUCGAAAAGCAUGUAGUUAUAUUCUUAAAGGAAGUUUGAAUAUAACGAACAAGGAAGCGUGAGAUCUAAAACUCACACCAUUUUGUGGAAGAAUAAUAAAAGUAUAACUGGACUGAUCAAGAUGACCGCUUAUCACCGAAGACAGUGGACAAUAUUGUUUGUGAUUGCAGAGUUACUGAUGGGAGCGGCGACUAGACGUGGAGAGCGGCUGGAGUACAGAACAGUUUACGCCUGUGAAGGAAGAGAUUUAAGGAUAACUUGUAAAGAAGGACACUUAAUCCAGCUGAUCCGAGCCAACUAUGGGCGAUUCAGUAUCAGUAUCUGUAACGAGCAAGGCGCCUUAGACUGGAGUGUUAAAUGUACAUCUCUAAGAUCGUAUCACGUCAUGCACGA